AUUGAACGCUGGCGGCAUGCUUUACACAUGCAAGUCGAACGGUAACAGGUUAAGCUGACGAGUGGCGAACGGGUGAGUAAUGCAUCGGAACGUGCCCGAUCGUGGGGGAUAACGCAGCGAAAGCUGCGCUAAUACCGCAUACGAACUGAGGAUGAAAGCGGGGGACCGUAAGGCCUCGCGCGAUCGGAGCAGCCGAUGUCAGAUUAGGUAGUUGGUGGGGUAAAGGCUCACCAAGCCGACGAUCUGUAGCUGGUCUGAGAGGACGACCAGCCACACUGGGACUGGGACACGGCCCAGACUCCUACGGGAGGCAGCAGUGGGGAAUUUUGGACAAUGGGCGCAAGCCUGAUCCAGCAAUGCCGCGUGCAGGAAGAAGGCCUUCGGGUUGUAAACUGCUUUUGUACGGAGCGAAAAGGCUCUCUCUAAUACAGGGGGCUCAUGACGGUACCGUAAGAAUAAGCACCGGCUAACUACGUG
rnacentral:rRNA from 1 species